rnacentral:rRNA from 1 species
CGAAGGGGGCUAGCGUUGUUCGGAAUUACUGGGCGUAAAGCGCGCGUAGGCGGAUGAUUAGGUCAGGGGUGAAAUCCCGGGGCUCAACCUCGGAACUGCCUUUGAUACUGGUCAUCUGGAGUCCGGAAGAGGUUGGUGGAAUUCCGAGUGUAGAGGUGAAAUUCGUAGAUAUUCGGAGGAACACCAGAGGCGAAGGCGGCCAACUGGUCCGGUACUGACGCUGAGGCGCGAAAGCGUGGGGAGCAAACAGGAUUAGAUACCCUGGUAGUCCACGCCGUAAACGAUGGAUGCCAGCCGUUGGCGGGCUUGCCCGUCAGUGGCGCAGCUAACGCAUUAAGCAUCCCGCCUGGGGAGUACGGUCGCAAGAUUA